AACCAGCGUGACAGUUCUUUCUUGUAGGCUCAAGGUCGAAUCCAAGUACAGAAGGCACCUUGUCUUCGGGAAGAAGGACCAUAAAGCCAUGCCUCGCUUGCUGUCCUGGGAACCAAUGCUGCACUUCAGGAAGCAUUCUUCAUAGAAGUUUGGCGGAUAAUGCACUCGCUGUCCAUGGGGAGUGGAGCCAAGUUGCUGAGCCAGCGCCAGGAUUGUGACACCGUAGUGAUAUCGUCAUGGAUGUUCAUGACGGUGAAGCCAGCACAUCCGCUGACUACUGAAGGAAAUAGUGACAGAUCACAGAGCAUCUGCCACAUCUGCCGCCGAGAUCUGAUAACCUGAAGGUUUCUCCACAGACUUCCUUAGCCCUGAUCUUUCCGACCCCUUGGGGUCUCCAUUGCAGCCUGGGUCUUGCUAAAGCUUCACGCAAUGGCCUCUCGGGGACUUUCUACAGGAAUUUUGACACUGCUACACUUCCGUCUGGCCUCCGCAACUCUCCAGACUUGGAUGCCAAACUUGACGACUCCCUUAGUCUUGCGCGGUUCCUGCUCAGUCCCGCUGUCGGGAUGAAUGCUGAGGUGAGCUUUUUGCACCUAGACUCUCCC